rnacentral:ncRNA from 1 species
GGCGUAUCAGAUCGACGCCGUGAAUACGUUCCCGGGCCUUGUACACACCGCCCGUCACAUCACGAAAGUGAGCUGUACUAGAAGUCGUCACGCUAACCGCAAGGAGGCAGACGCCCAAGGUAUGACUCAUGAUUGGGGUGAAGUCGUAACAAGGUAGCCGUAGGAGAACCUGCGGCUGGAUCACCUCCUUU